AGUGAACGCUGGCGGUAGGCCUAACACAUGCAAGUCGAACGGCAGCACAGUAAGAGCUUGCUCUUACGGGUGGCGAGAGGCGGACGGGUGAGGAAUACAUCGGAAUCUACUUUUUCGUGGGGGAUAACGUAGGGAAACUUACGCUAAUACCGCAUACGACCUACGGGUGAAAGCAGGGGAUCUUCGGACCUUGCGCGAUUGAAUGAGCCGAUGUCGGAUUAGCUAGUUGGCGGGGUAAAGGCCCACCAAGGCGACGAUCCGUAGCUGGUCUGAGAGGAUGAUCAGCCACACUGGAACUGAGACACGGUUCAGACUCCUACGGGAGGCAGCAGUGGGGAAUAUUGGACAAUGGGCGCAAGCCUGAUCCAGCCAUACCGCGUGGGUGAAGAAGGCCUUCGGGUUGUAAAGCCCUUUUGUUGGGAAAGAAAAGCAGCAGGUUAAUACCCCGCUGUUCUGACGGUACCCAAAGAAUAAGCACCGGCUAACUUCGUG
rnacentral:rRNA from 1 species